GAUUGAACGCUGGCGGCAUGCCUUACACAUGCAAGUCGAACGGCAGCACGGGAGCAAUCCUGGUGGCGAGUGGCGAACGGGUGAGUAAUAUAUCGGAACGUGCCCAGUCGUGGGGGAUAACGUAGCGAAAGCUACGCUAAUACCGCAUACGAUCUAUGGAUGAAAGCGGGGAUCGCAAGACCUCGCGCGAUUGGAGCGGCCGAUAUCAGAUUAGGUAGUUGGUGAGGUAAAGGCUCACCAAGCCGACGAUCUGUAGCUGGUCUGAGAGGACGACCAGCCACACUGGGACUGAGACACGGCCCAGACUCCUACGGGAGGCAGCAGUGGGGAAUUUUGGACAAUGGGCGCAAGCCUGAUCCAGCAAUGCCGCGUGCAGGAUGAAGGCCUUCGGGUUGUAAACUGCUUUUGUACGGAACGAAACGGUGAGCUCUAAUACAGUUUGCUAAUGACGGUACCGUAAGAAUAAGCACCGGCUAACUACGUG
rnacentral:rRNA from 1 species